GACGAACGCUGGCGGCGUGCUUAACACAUGCAAGUCGAGCGAUGAAGUUCCUUCGGGAAUGGAUUAGCGGCGGACGGGUGAGUAACACGUGGGUAACCUGCCUCAUAGAGGGGAAUAGCCUUCCGAAAGGAAGAUUAAUACCGCAUAAGAUUGUAGUAUCGCAUGAUAUAGCAAUUAAAGGAGCAAUCCGCUAUGAGAUGGACCCGCGUCGCAUUAGCUAGUUGGUGAGGUAACGGCUCACCAAGGCGACGAUGCGUAGCCGACCUGAGAGGGUGAUCGGCCACAUUGGGACUGAGACACGGCCCAGACUCCUACGGGAGGCAGCAGUGGGGAAUAUUGCACAAUGGGGGAAACCCUGAUGCAGCAACGCCGCGUGAGUGAUGACGGUCUUCGGAUUGUAAAACUCUGUCUUCAGGGACGAUAAUGACGGUACCUGAGGAGGAAGCCACGGCUAACUACGUGCCAGCCGCCGCCGUAA
rnacentral:rRNA from 1 species